GACGAACGCUGGCGGCGUGCUUAACACAUGCAAGUCGAGCGGUAAGGCCCUUUCGGGGUACGACGAGCGGCGAACGGUAGGAGUAACACGUGGGUGGACCUCGCCCUCCAGCUCUGGGAGUAAGCCCGGGAAACGUAGGGUCGUAAUACCGGAUAUGACUUCAUGACGCAUGUUGUGGAGUGGAAAGCCUUGUGCGGCGUGAGGGAUGGGCCCGCGGCCUAUCAGCUUGUUGGUGGGGUGAGGCCUACCAAGGCGACGACGGGUAGCCGGCCUGAGAGGGCGACCGGCCACACUGGGACUGA
rnacentral:rRNA from 1 species